UACUUCUGCUUAAUGUUACACUGUCAGAUAUGCAAAAGAAAUCUAUCGUAUCUCUUGCUCUGGCUACUGUGUAUAGACCACCAGGGCCGUAUACAGAUUUGCUAAAAGAAUUUGCAGAUUUCCUCUCAGACCUAUUGGUUACUGUUGAUAAAGCGCUAAUUGUCGGAGAUUUUAACAUUCACGUUGAUAAUACAAAUGAUGCAUUAGGACUUGCGUUUACUGACCUAAUAAACUCUUUUGGAGUCAAGCAAAAUGUCACCGGGCCCACUCAUCGUUUUAAUCAUACGCUAGAUUUAAUUAUAUCGCAUGGAAUUGAUCUUACUGAUAUAGAUAUCGUACCUCAAAGUGAUGAUGUUACUGACCAUUUCCUUGUAUCGUGCAUGCUGCGUAUUACUAAUAUUAACUAUAUGGCUCUGCAUUAUCGUCCGGGCAGAACUAUUGUUCCAGCCACCAAAGACAGAUUCACAAAUAACCUGCCUGAUUUAUCUCAACUGCUUUCUGUACAUAUAAAUACACAUGAACUAGAUGAACUAUAUUCGUCUAUAUGCACUAUAUUCUCUAAUACAUUAGAAGCUGUUGCCCCCAUCAAAUUGAAAAAGGUUAGAGAAAAACGUACUGUGCCAUGGUACAACAGUAAUACCCAUUCUCUCAAGAAAGAAACUCGUAGUCUUGAGCGCAAAUGGAGAAAAACUAACUUGGAAGUUUUUAGAAUUGCGUGGAAAAACAGUAUGUCCAGCUAUAGACAGGCUCUAAAAGCUGCCAGGGCCGAGCAUAUCCACAAACUCAUAGAAAAUAACCAAAACAAUCCUAGGUUUUUAUUUAGCACAGUGGCUAGAUUAACAAAUAACCAGACGCCACCCGAUCUAAAUAUUCCCGCACAGUUUAAUAGUAAUGACUUUAUGAAUUUCUGCACUGAUAAAAUAGAUAACAUCAGAAAUACAAUAAAAAAUGUAGAUUCUACAGCGUAUAAUACUUUAGCUUCAUUCAUCGCACCAAAAGAUAAAAUGCAGUGCUUUACAACUAUAGGACAGGAAGAGCUAAAUAAACUUAUCACUGCAUCUAAACCAACAACAUGCCUGUUAGAUCCUGUACCCACUAAAUUACUGAAAGAGUUGUUACCUGUAGCAGGAGAAGCG
rnacentral:lncRNA from 1 species